rnacentral:misc_RNA from 1 species
CCGAGUUUACAACUCCCAAACCCCUGCGAACAUACCUUAUGUUGCCUCGGCGGAUCAGCCCGCGCCCCGUAAAAAGGGACGGCCCGCCGCAGGAACCCUAAACUCUGUUUUUAGCUGGAACUUCUGAGUAUAAAAAACAAAUAAAUCA